AGAACGACUCUCGGCAACGGAUAUCUCGGCUCUCGCAUCGAUGAAGAACGUAACGAAAUGCGAUACCUGGUGUGAAUUGCAGAAUCCCGCGAACCAUCGAGUCUUUGAACGCAUGUUGCGCCCGAGGCCACCCGGCCGAGGGCACGCCUGCCUGGGCGUCACGC
rnacentral:rRNA from 1 species